rnacentral:rRNA from 1 species
CCUACGGGAGGCAGCAGUAAGGAAUAUUGGACAAUGGGCGAAAGCCUGAUCCAGCCAUGCCGCGUGAAGGAUUAAGGCCCUCUGGGUUGUAAACUUCUUUUAUAGGGGACGAAAAAAGGGAAUUCUUUCCCUCCUGACGGUACCCUAUGAAUAAGCACCGGCUAACUCCGUGCCAGCAGCCGCGGUAAUACGGAGGGCGCAAGCGUUAUCCGGAUUCACUGGGUUUAAAGGGUGCGUAGGCGGGUAGGUAAGUCAGUGGUGAAAUCUCGAAGCUUAACUUCGAAACUGCCAUUGAUACUAUUUAUCUUGAAUAUUGUGGAGGUUUGCGGAAUAUGUCAUGUAGCGGUGAAAUGCUUAGAUAUGACAUAGAACACCUAUUGCGAAGGCAGCAGGCUACGCAUAUAUUGACGCUGAGGCACGAAAGCGUGGGGAUCAAACAGGAUUAGAUACCCUGGUAGUCCACGCCCUAAACGAUGAUUACUCGACAUUUGUGAUACACUAUAAGUGUCUGAGCGAAAGCAUUAAGUAAUCCACCUGGAAGUACGACCGCAAGGUUGAAACUCAAAGAUAGUAGGCGUGUAGACGUGCCGAACGGACGACCACCGAGGGGAGGAGGGAGG